AUGCAAAUGAAUUCGAGUGGCUAGAGCUUCGGUGUUGAUCCAUCUCGAAUGAGAGCGAUAAGAAAAAAUAAAAAAUAAAAAAAGAUAUAAUCUGUUCUGAGUUUGUUCUGAUCUACUAAGUUAAUAAAGCAGGAGGCGGAAGUUUUUUUUUCUUCUUUCGACCCCUAUUGAUUCGCUAAAAAUCUGUCAAAAAUUGUUUUUACCCUGAUUCUCUUCUAAUAGAGCGAUAAAUGAAAAUCAUAAAUAAAAUUAAAAUUAAUUCCUCCUAAAUUC
rnacentral:lncRNA from 1 species